rnacentral:rRNA from 1 species
UUUAAGCAUAUAAGUAAGCGGGGGAAAAGGAACUAAAUAGGAUUCCCUCAGUAAUGGCGAAUGAACAGGGAUGAGCUCAGGCUGGAAACCGAUACAUCUGUGUCGGGCUGUAGCCUGCAGGCAUAGCGCUAUCGGCGGCUCGAGCGCAAGCCUCUUGGAAUAGAGCGUGUGCCCGGGUGAGAAUCCUGCAUUUCGCUCGAUGUCCGCUGUCCACAGUGCUUGUCCUGAGAGUCACGCUCCUCGGAAUUGGAGCGUAAAUCAGGUGGUAAGUUUCAUCCAAAGCUAAAUAGAAGCUCGAGACCAAUAGCAAACAAGUACCAUGAGGGAAAGAUGAAAAGGACUUUGGAAAGAGAGUUAAAAGUGUUUGAAAUUGCUGAGAGCGAAGCGAACGGAGCCACAUGUCGUGCUGAGAUUGCUGUGGGUCUUUGUGAGCCUUGAGCAUGUAAGCGCAAGCUGACUGCUUAUGUGUGAGCAUUUGCCCGCAGUGUUUCUCAGCAUGCGAGUCAUUAGCCACAUUUGUUUGAGGAUGGCCUUCAGCUCACAUGGUACACUUGUUAGUGUUCCUCUGUGCGGUGUGGGACUCAGACAGGUGUGGCUUGUU